GAGUUUGAUCAUGGCUCAGAUUGAACGCUGGCGGCAGGCCUAACACAUGCAAGUCGAGCGGUAGAGAGAAGCUUGCUUCUCUUGAGAGCGGCGGACGGGUGAGUAAUGCCUAGGAAUCUGCCUGGUAGUGGGGGAUAACGCUCGGAAACGGACGCUAAUACCGCAUACGUCCUACGGGAGAAAGCAGGGGACCUUCGGGCCUUGCGCUAUCAGAUGAGCCUAGGUCGGAUUAGCUAGUUGGUGAGGUAAUGGCUCACCAAGGCGACGAUCCGUAACUGGUCUGAGAGGAUGAUCAGUCACACUGGAACUGAGACACGGUCCAGACUCCUACGGGAGGCAGCAGUGGGGAAUAUUGGACAAUGGGCGAAAGCCUGAUCCAGCCAUGCCGCGUGUGUGAAGAAGGUCUUCGGAUUGUAAAGCACUUUAAGUUGGGAGGAAGGGC
rnacentral:rRNA from 1 species